ACAUGCAGUCGACGGCAGCACGGGUAGCAAUACCUGGUGGCGAGUGGCGCACGGGUGCGUAACGCGUAUGCAACCUACCUUUAACUGGAGAAUAGCCCCGAGAAAUCGGGAUUAAUGUUCCAUAACAUUAUGAGAUGGCAUCAUCUUAUAAUUAAAGCUCCGGCGGUUAUUGAUGGGCAUGCGUGACAUUAGUUUGUUGGUGAGGUAACGGCUCACCAAGACUACGAUGUCUAGGGGUUCUGAGAGGAUUUUCCCCCACACUGGUACUGAGACACGGACCAAACUCCUACGGGAGGCAGCAGUAAGGAAUAUUGGGCAAUGGACGCAAGUCUGACCCAGCCAUGCCGCGUGCAGGAUGACAGCCCUACGGGUUGUAAACUGCUUUUGUACGGGAAAAAUUCCCUGGUCGUGUACCGGGGUUGAUGGUACCGUAAGAAUAAGCAUCGGCUAACUCCGUGCCAGCAGCCGCGGUAAUACGGAGGAUGCAAGCGUUAUCCGGAUUCAUUGGGUUUAAAGGGUGCGCAGGCGGAAUGAUAAGUCAGUGGUGAAAUCCUACGGCUCAACUGUAGAACUGCCAUUGAUACUGUUGUUCUUGAGUACAUUUGUAGUGGGCGGAAUGUGUCAUGUAGCGGUGAAAUGCUUAGAGAUGACACAGAACACCGAUCGCGAAGGCAGCUCACUAAACUGUAACUGACGCUCACGCACGAAAGCGUGGGGAUCAAACAGGAUUAGAUACCCUGGUAGUCCACGCUGUAAACGAUGAUCACUCGAUGUUGGGCGAUACACUGUCAGCGUCCAAGCGAAAGCAUUAAGUGAUCCACCUGGGGAGUACGGCCGCAAGGUUGAAACUCAAGGAAUUGACGGGG
rnacentral:rRNA from 1 species